UGUAAACACCAAAAAUCCUCAUGCACUCAAGGUCUCAGUAAAUCCAGCUCAUCAUCUUUAAGUAAGAUCCGUCCUGCUCUGUAAAUUUUCGAGUAAAUCGAAUCCACAGAAGAAGGGAUGCUUUCUGAAGCAUGGCAGAGGCAUCAAUCACACAGUUUAUUUUAAACCAAUCCCACACAAAGCAGGAGUCAGCUUCUUCUGCAUUUUCCUUUUAUAUUUAAAAUAUCCAUUACAGUAUGCCAUACAUUUCUGUAAGUUGAAUACUUUGAUUCUUUCAUUUUUAAUGCUGUGCUUCAGUUACUUUGCUGAUUGGGCACAAAACCGAGGCUGUGUGUGAACACGAUACCCUGAGCUAGCUGAAUUGAUUCCAGAAGGGUGGACUGUGUUGAGAUGUGGUCUGGACGCCUGAGUCAAAAUCUACUCCUCAUCCAUCAAUCCCAUAAGCGUCCAUAACAGAUGGAAUCACUCAUAUACUAAUCCGUUUUAUGCUGAUGAAAGGCAAAUACAUCUGCACUACUCUUUCAUAUCACUUUUUUUCUAUAUCCCAGUUUUUUUGCUAGUUUGAAUGAUGGCUGAGUAGCUUCCACGGAGGAAUGGCCCCUGUUGGAGCCUUUAUCUGUGGCAUUAUUCUGGCAGAGCGAUGGACUGGACCCUAGAAGGGACAGCUGAGUCAUUUGGCAGAGACCGGCGAGCCAAUUGGUCAGCGAAGUUAUGAGGACAGCACUAGAUUUGUGACCUUACAGCUCCGUCUCCCCCCAGGAAGCACAGCCAGUGGACCAGAAAUGAAUUUCAUGCCUCAACUAAUUGCAUUGUGGAUUCGAGUUCCAGGGCCUGCUCCUACAGCUGCUGCUGCCUGAAUCCACACAAACACUCAUCACAGAGACCAUAUGUUUGCAGGUACAGACGCAGAUCUGCAUUAAUUGCUGACGUUGUUUGGUUUAGUCACAUUUAUGAUUUCUGUAAAAGGUUUGUUUUCCCUGAGAAGGGGGAAGUAAAUGUGUGUUUCACAGGAAUAGCCUACUUUUUGAUUGCAUUCACUAAAUCAUUCACAUGAUAUAAGAUUACGCAUAAAUGUUUUAACAUGAUAAUUUACUAUUUAUUUAUUUAAAGAAUGUCUUUGAAAUUGUAUAUAACUGUAUAUAUUCACAUCCAUUUGUCUAGACCAGGGGUUUCCAAAGCCCUCCAUGAAGUACCCCAAGCACUGCAUGUUUUGUAUGUCUCCCUAUAUCUGACACCCACUUCAGGUCUUGCAGUCUUCACUAAUGAGCUGAUGAGUUGAAUCAGGUUUGAUAAUUGAGGGAGACAUACAAAAUGUGAUGUGCAGAGGGUACUCCAGGACAGGAUUGAGAACGACUGGUCUAGACAGAUGGAUAGAUCUGUUUGGAUAAUUGGCCCUUUGAGAUCUGACCGAUCAUAAUGCCAUUUUUUUCCAGUCAAACAUACCAGACACGGGAGUAGAUUAACAUUUGUGGUCUUGGUAAAACUGUGUACUGACGUCUUUCAGCAGUUGAAACAAGAUACUCUCUGAUGUUCAUUCAUGUUUAUUUCAUGCUCUUACUAGUAAAGAUGAUCAGCUCACAUGAACUGUGUCACCACACAUCAAAGAGCCACAAAACUGUAUUUACUAUUUUAGUUUCUUACAAAAUGACAAAAUUUAGGCUCGAAUUGGACUUGUGCCGUUAGUAUGGGUAGAUUCAUGUUCUGUUUUAGUUUUAAACCAAAACUGAAGCUGUUCAAUGCAUUAGUAGACAUAUGUAUGCAUUUGUUUGCAUUUUCUUUUGUGAUUGUUAGCAAGGUGCACUAGAAUAUAAUAGUUUGAGAGUUUUGUGCUGGUGAAAAAAAAAACAUACCAUGCUUUUGCUGGUUUCUGCUUUUGUGUGUGUGUGUUUUUCAAGUUGAAAAAAUUAUGUGCAUGUCUACUUAAUUAGGCAU